UACGGGGGAUGCAAGCGUUAUCCGGAAUCAUUGGGCGUAAAGCGCCUGUAGGUUGUUUAAUAAGUCUGUUGUUAAAGACUAGGGCUCAACCCUAGAAAAGCAAUGGAAACUACUAGACUAGAGUAUGGCAGGGGUAGAGGGAAUUUUUAGUGUAGCGGUGAAAUGCGUAGAUAUUAAAAAGAACACCAGUGGCGAAAGCGCUCUACUUGACCAUUACUGACACUCAGAGGCGAAAGCUAAGGUAGCAAAAGGGAUUAGAUACCCCUGUAGUCCUAGCCGUAAACGAUGGAUACUAGAUGUUGUACUUACCGUACAGUAUCCUAGCUAACGCGUUAAGUAUCCCGCCUGGGGAGUACGCUCGCAAGGGUG
rnacentral:rRNA from 1 species